rnacentral:rRNA from 1 species
AUUGAACGCUGGCGGCAGGCUUAACACAUGCAAGUCGAGCGGGGGAAGGUAGCUUGCUACCUAACCUAGCGGCGGACGGGUGAGUAAUGCUUAGGAAUCUGCCUAUUAGUGGGGGACAACAUUUCGAAAGGGAUGCUAAUACCGCAUACGCCCUAAGGGGGAAAGCAGGGGAUCUUCGGACCUUGCGCUAAUAGAUGAGCCUAAGUCGGAUUAGCUAGUUGGUGGGGUAAAGGCCUACCAAGGCGACGAUCUGUAGCGGGUCUGAGAGGAUGGUCCGCCACACUGGGACUGAGACACGGCCCAGACUCCUACGGGAGGCAGCAGUGGGGAAUAUUGGACAAUGGGGGGAACCCUGAUCCAGCCAUGCCGCGUGUGUGAAGAAGGCCUUUUGGUUGUAAAGCACUUUAAGCGAGGAGGAGGCUACCGAGAUUAAUACUCUUGGAUAGUGGACGUUACUCGCAGAAUAAGCACCGGCUAACUCUGUGCCAGCCGCCGCCGUAAGAC